rnacentral:rRNA from 1 species
AGAUUGAACGCUGGCGGCAUGCCUUACACAUGCAAGUCGAACGGCAGCACGGGAGCAAUCCUGGUGGCGAGUGGCGAACGGGUGAGUAAUAUAUCGGAACGUGCCCAGUCGUGGGGGAUAACGCAGCGAAAGCUGUGCUAAUACCGCAUACGAUCUAUGGAUGAAAGCGGGGGAUCGCAAGACCUCGCGCGAUUGGAGCGGCCGAUAUCAGAUUAGCUAGUUGGUGGGGUAAAAGCCUACCAAGGCGACGAUCUGUAGCUGGUCUGAGAGGACGACCAGCCACACUGGAACUGAGACACGGUCCAGACUCCUACGGGAGGCAGCAGUGGGAAUUUUGGACAAUGGGCGCAAGCCUGAUCCAGCAAUGCCGCGUGCAGGAUGAAGGCCGUUCGGUUAGUAAACUGUCUUUUGUAACGGUAACGAAACGGUUCUCUACGUAAUACGAGGGCUAAGUAGAACGUAACCGUAAGAAUAAGACGAACCGG